CAGUCGAGCGGACAGAAGGGAGCUUGCUCCCGGAUGUUAGCGGCGGACGGGUGAGUAACACGUGGGUAACCUGCCUGUAAGACUGGGAUAACUCCGGGAAACCGGAGCUAAUACCGGAUAGUUCCUUGAACCGCAUGGUUCAAGGAUGAAAGACGGUUUCGGCUGUCACUUACAGAUGGACCCGCGGCGCAUUAGCUAGUUGGUGGGGUAAUGGCUCACCAAGGCGACGAUGCGUAGCCGACCUGAGAGGGUGAUCGGCCACACUGGGACUGAGACACGGCCCAGACUCCUACGGGAGGCAGCAGUAGGGAAUCUUCCGCAAUGGACGAAAGUCUGACGGAGCAACGCCGCGUGAGUGAUGAAGGUUUUCGGAUCGUAAAGCUCUGUUGUUAGGGAAGAACAAGUGCGAGAGUAACUGCUCGCACCUUGACGGUACCUAACCAGAAAGCCACGGCUAACUACGUGCCAGCAGCCGCGGUAAUACGUAGGUGGCAAGCGUUGUCCGGAAUUAUUGGGCGUAAAGGGCUCGCAGGCGGUUUCUUAAGUCUGAUGUGAAAGCCCCCGGCUCAACCGGGGAGGGUCAUUGGAAACUGGGAAACUUGAGUGCAGAAGAGGAGAGUGGAAUUCCACGUGUAGCGGUGAAAUGCGUAGAGAUGUGGAGGAACACCAGUGGCGAAGGCGACUCUCUGGUCUGUAACUGACGCUGAGGAGCGAAAGCGUGGGGAGCGAACAGGAUUAGAUACCCUGGUAGUCCACGCCGUAAACGAUGAGUG
rnacentral:rRNA from 1 species